rnacentral:rRNA from 1 species
CCUACGGGAGGCAGCAGUGGGGAAUAUUGGGCAAUGGGCGAAAGCCUGACCCAGCAACGCCGCGUGCAGGAUGAAGGCUUUCGGGUUUUAAACCUCUUUUUACAGGGAAGAGCACACGACUGUACCUUUCUAAUUAGCCACAGCUAACUACGUGACAGCAGCCGCCUUCAUACGUAGGUGCGCAGCGUUACCCGGAUUUACUGGGUGUAAAGGACGUGUUGCCGGGAUGAGAAGUUAGGUGUGAAAUCCGGGGGCUCAACCCCCGAACUGCAUUUGAAACUGUUGGUCUUGAGUAUAGGUGAGGCAGGCGGAAUGUCUAGUGUAGCGGUGAAAUGCGUAGAUAGUAGGAAGAACACCAGUGGCGAAGGCAGCCUGCCGGACGACAACUGACGGUGAGGCGCGAAAGCGUGGGGAGCAAACAGGAUUAGAUACCCUAGUAGUC